CCAUGAUGCUUUGCGAGGAGAAAGGACCCGCAGCUCUUCCGUGAUGGAUGCACCGUUUUGCUUCGUGCGAAAUAGCCGGUUUUGGAACCGGCGGGAAUGUUCGAGGAAACCAAUUCCUGUUCACCCGCGGACACGUGUUUGUCCGUGGUCGCGCGCGGGACGCCCUAACCUCAGUGUCCAUCGUCGCUGUAGGCCUCCGUGUCGGUGGCAGAGCAGAGCAACGCUCUUCUCCUUGUACGUGGACGACAGGUCAGACGAUUGGCAAUUUGGCCCAGAGCCCUUUUCCUUGGGAAUACUCCAA